rnacentral:lncRNA from 1 species
UAUAUACAAUUCCAAUUUUCCAUCAUCUUCCGAUGUGGGACGGCUUCCGCAGCGGAAGCAGGUAGCUGGCCAUUACACUCAAUCCCACUAAAUUUGUGACGUCCUCAUUGCAAUUGAAUCGGUUACAAUUGCUAACCAGGACCGGACCCUUGAGUAUUGUGGUUUGCUAGUACCUCGGGCGGCUCCACCUCGUCUUUCACGGGUAGCGCUUUCCUCGCAGGCCCACUAGCUCUGUACAAUUUGUCUGACCUAGGGUGGCUCUAAUACCAAUUGAAAGAGUCCGGCCCAAACUGACCCAAAUAACUUUUGGAUCCACUUUCCACUUGGCCCAAAAUGAUUAACCCAAGUUAUUUAGUAGUUUCGUGCUAGUUAUUAUAUAUAAUUCCAAAUUUCCAUCAUCUUCCGAUGUGGGACAGCUUCCGCAGCGGAAGCAGGUAGCUGGCCAUUACACUCAAUCCCACUAAAUUUGUGACGUCCUCAUUGCAAUUGAAUCGGUUACAAUUGCUAACCAGGACCGGACCCUUGGGUAUUGUGGUUUGCUAGUACCUCGGGCAGCUCCACCUCGUCUCUUACGGGUAGCGCUUUCCUCGCAAACCCACAACCUCUGCAUAAUUUGUCUGAUCUAGGGUGGCUCUGAUACCAAUUGAAACAGUCCGGCCCAAACUGACCCAAAUAACUUUUAGACCCACUUUCCA